GACGAACGCUGGCGGCGUGCCUAAUACAUGCAAGUUGAGCGCUGAAGGUUGGUACUUGUACCAACUGGAUGAGCAGCGAACGGGUGAGUAACGCGUGGGGAAUCUGCCUUUGAGCGGGGGACAACAUUUGGAAACGAAUGCUAAUACCGCAUAAAAACUUUAAACACAAGUUUUAAGUUUGAAAGAUGCAAUUGCAUCACUCAAAGAUGAUCCCGCGUUGUAUUAGCUAGUUGGUGAGGUAAAGGCUCACCAAGGCGAUGAUACAUAGCCGACCUGAGAGGGUGGUCAGCCAGCUUGGGACGGAGACACGGCACAAAGUCCUGCGGGAGGCAGCAGUAGGGAAUCUUCGGCAAUGGACGAAAGUCUGACCGAGCAACGCCGCGGGAGUGAAGAAGGAUUUCGGAUCGUAAAACUCUGUUGGUAGAGAAGAACGUUGGUGAGAGUGGAAAGCUCAUCAAGUGACGGUAACUACACAGAAAGGGACGGCUAACUACGUG
rnacentral:rRNA from 1 species